AGAAAAUUCACAAGACAUAAAUGCGAAAAAAUAAUUUUAUUAAAUGUUAUCUGCAUUUAACUUAAGUGUAUAUUUACUUUUCAUUGUGGCAUCACAGUGCUGAGGAAAUGACAUCUUCAUCACUGUGACAUCCACUGGUACCUCACAGCAGAUAAAUCAAAAAGAAUAAAUUAAAAAGAAAGAACUCAAAGUGCAAAGUUGUAGUGUUAGAUCACAGCGCGAUAACCUUAAGGAAUGUAAAAAUACUCAAAGUUUCAAAGGCAGCAAAGAAAAAAUAGAAAGGGGGGCACAAAAAUAUUAGGAGACUUUUUACAGUCACAACCAAACAAGAGAGCUCCAUGCACUUCAUUUUACUUCUGUGGUCCCAUACAGUCACUUUAAACUACAAAAUCUGCUAGGAACUCUACUUAAUGUUCUGAUCAAAAUCCUCCAGUGUCCUCGCUGUAGCUACAUAAAUCAUCUAUCAUCACAAAACAAACAUCUAUCAAAGAGCAACUGAGAUGGACCCAGCAUGACAGUAUCAGAGAAAAAAGGGUUUACACUACAAAUAAGCAGGACUACUUUUAAUUCAUUUAGAGGAAAGUACAUUAGAAUAAUUAGCAGUGCCAAUUCAGACGUCCCUCCUUCCCUUAAAGCUCUUUAAACGUCCCUGAUCAAACUGGAUUACCAGCUGUUUACCCUGCAAUAGCAGAUUUGAGUCAAAUUAAUUGGAACCCACUGCUGCUCUAAGGAACCAUGAAAUCAGACAAAAAAAAAAAAGAAACACUGAAAAUAAUUGAAAUGGUUUUCCCUGCAGUGGUUUUAUUUCUCUAGGUUUUAAGCCAGUUGUUUCUUAGAUUAGGAUAAAUCAAACCAAAACUACACUGCAGGGAAAUUGUUGUCAUUUGAGUGAAUUAAUCCUUUAAGUAGCGGCUGAAUUAAGAUAAAGGUGCUGGCAAAUAAAACCUGCUUUAUUUUAUCACGGAUUAUCUGUUUAAAAAGGCAAACAAAUUGUUUU